UCUAGACUCUCUGAAAUGCCAUUUCCCGGACUUUGGGGAGAGAUUUUACAGAAUUCUGAUGGUCAGAAAACGACAUUGUAACAUAUCAGAGGCCCUGGCCAAUGUAUUUGCUCUACAGCCUGAGCCUGGGGGCCCCCAUUUGGCCCAUUGAGGUUGGGACCCCCCGGGUUCUCCCGGUCUGAGCCCAUAGUAGUUACGCCACUG
rnacentral:lncRNA from 1 species